GGAGCUUGCUCCACCGGAAAAAGAAGAGUGGCGAACGGGUGAGUAACACGUGGGUAACCUGCCCAUCAGAAGGGGAUAACACUUGGAAACAGGUGCUAAUACCGUAUAACAAUCGAAACCGCAUGGUUUUGAUUUGAAAGGCGCUUUCGGGUGUCGCUGAUGGAUGGACCCGCGGUGCAUUAGCUAGUUGGUGAGGUAACGGCUCACCAAGGCCACGAUGCAUAGCCGACCUGAGAGGGUGAUCGGCCACAUUGGGACUGAGACACGGCCCAAACUCCUACGGGAGGCAGCAGUAGGGAAUCUUCGGCAAUGGACGAAAGUCUGACCGAGCAACGCCGCGUGAGUGAAGAAGGUUUUCGGAUCGUAAAACUCUGUUGUUAGAGAAGAACAAGGAUGAGAGUAACUGUUCAUCCCUUGACGGUAUCUAACCAGAAAGCCACGGCUAACUACGUGCCAGCAGCCGCGGUAAUACGUAGGUGGCAAGCGUUGUCCGGAUUUAUUGGGCGUAAAGCGAGCGCAGGCGGUUUCUUAAGUCUGAUGUGAAAGCCCCCGGCUCAACCGGGGAGGGUCAUUGGAAACUGGGAGACUUGAGUGCAGAAGAGGAGAGUGGAAUUCCAUGUGUAGCGGUGAAAUGCGUAGAUAUAUGGAGGAACACCAGUGGCGAAGGCGGCUCUCUGGUCUGUAACUGACGCUGAGGCUCGAAAGCGUGGGGAGCAAACAGGAUUAGAUACCCUGGUAGUCCACGCCGUAAACGAUGAGUGCUAAGUGUUGGAGGGUUUCCGCCCUUCAGUGCUGCAGCUAACGCAUUAAGCACUCCGCCUGGGGAGUACGACCGCAAGGUUGAAACUCAAAGGAAUUGACGGGGGCCCGCACAAGCGGUGGAGCAUGUGGUUUAAUUCGAAGCAACGCGAAGAACCUUACCAGGUCUUGACAUCCUUUGACCACUCUAGAGAUAGAGCUUCCCCUUCGGGGGCAAAGUGACAGGUGGUGCAUGGUUGUCGUCAGCUCGUGUCGUGAGAUGUUGGGUUAAGUCCCGCAACGAGCGCAACCCUUAUUGUUAGUUGCCAUCAUUUAGUUGGGCACUCUAGCAAGACUGCCGGUGACAAACCGGAGGAAGGUGGGGAUGACGUCAAAUCAUCAUGCCCCUUAUGACCUGGGCUACACACGUGCUACAAUGGGAAGUACAACGAGUCGCGAAGUCGCGAGGCUAAGCUAAUCUCUUAAAGCUUCUCUCAGUUCGGAUUGUAGGCUGCAACUCGCCUACAUGAAGCCGGAAUCGCUAGUAAUCGCGGAUCAGCACGCCGCGGUGAAUACGUUCCCGGGCCUUGUACACACCGCCCGUCACACCACGAGAGUUUGUAACACCCGAAGUCGGUGAGGUAACCUUUGAGCCA
rnacentral:rRNA from 1 species